GGCCCGUGGCGCGGGGAGCGCUGGCCGCGGGACGCCGGCUCCGCGUCUCGGGAGGGUUGCUCUGUGCAGCCUUCCCUCACGGGCUGCUGCACACGUGGAGGCUGCUCGCUGAGAGACCGCGACACCUGGAAGGACGCGGCGGUUUGCUGCGUGCCUUUAGCCAGACGGUGCAACCCUCCACGCAGAAAAACCACAGCUAAAUUAAAGCAGCACCGAUGCUGCUCCAGCUCUGCUUGGCUCACAGACACACAGUGCAGCACCUUCCCCUCUCUCGCGGUGGAACUCUGGCAGGGGCUGGAUGAUGUGCUUGCUAAGGUACCCAACGUGUUGAAUUCCCGCAUGCCUCGUAGUUGAAGUUUGAGACUAACACAGUUUGAAAUGACCUCUGGAGAUCUGUCAGGCUCUGCUCUACAAGUGGGGCCAACCUCCAACUUAUAUUAACUUUCUCAGGGCAAACCUAAGGGAAGGUACCAAAAACCAUCACGGGAAACAGGUAAGGCUGGGCAUGGGGCAAGUCCAGAGCACGGGACUUCUGUAAUACACAUCACCCAGUUUCCAAUACAGCUUAAGCGGGACCGUAGGAAAACUCUCACCCUGGAGCAGCUCAGCGGUUCAACCAGCCAUGCCUGGCCCCCCCAGCACAAACACAUCAUCACCAUCAAAACAAAGCCAUUUGUGAACAAUUUACCAUGCAUUCCGGGAAGAAAAAGCUCUUUGGCAGACCUCCUUGUGUUAUUGCUGAAGUUUCAACGCAUUUUGGGACAUUUGGCGACUUGCAAGGGAAGGACAACACGGACCACUCGCAUCCAACAAAAGAAACACAAGCAAACACGUGCCGAGGGAGGAGGCGCUUGGAGCAGCCCCACCUCUGCUUACCCAAGAGCGUUCCAGGCUCUCCUGCUCCCGCUGCAGCACCACAGCAAUUGCUGCUCAUCGGUCAUUCAAAUCUCGCCGAUUUCUUUCCCCUGCUCUCACAAGCCAAAAACCAAAUGAGAACCUGGUUUCAGACUGCCCUGAAUUAAGCUGAAGCUAUGAAACAAAAUGACCACAGCAUGUAGAUAAGCAAACGGGAUUUCCAAGCCCAUGCAUUUUGUUGCUAGUUAAUAUUAAAAAUGAUAAACAGUAGUCAGGAUUUUUUUUAAAAAAAGCUUUUUAAGAGCAGAGUAACUGCUUUCAACAGUUUUAGGCAAUCAAAAACAAGUAUUGAGAAGGAGGCUAAUUUUUAGAAUGCACCUAUAAUUAUCAUAAGAGAACUUGCAGGGUCCAGAAAUCCAUCAAAGAUUUAUUUCGUUAAUUACAAGAAGGUUGCUAUGCUCUGGGUUUGGUUGUGAAGGAAUACUUUGGUAUGAAGCCAGCGAGCUCUGGUAGCUGACGUGCUGCUGUUGAAUCGGCACCCAGGCCGCGAUGCGUUCCCUCUGCGCGGCGGGGUAACGCGGCUCCGCUUCCAGCGCCCGGCUGUGCACAACACUCACUUCACUCGUCUGAAGCAGCUCCCGUCCCCACGAACACCCAUCUGCGGGGCCCUUCCCACACUUCGGAAGGCUGCGCUGUUUCCUGGUAAGGCUAGAAGUACAAAACCUGAC